GGUUAACAUGUUGAUGUCCUGUUUUAAUGUCUAAACAAACGAGAUGGAUAUCGGAAAAUGAUUAAGUAGAGAAAAUGAUUAAUGACACGUUUAUUUGAAUAAUCCAAUUUAGAUUGCAGAUUUAGAUUCAAGGGAAAAUUGGCUUGAUUCCAACUUGUAUUUUCCAAUAUUUUCGAUUCAAAUGUUUAAUAUUCAUCCCCUACAGAUAUAACAUGUACGUCUCGUAACCAAAGGUUUUAUCUAUUUAACCAUAUUUUUAUUCCACUAAAAUCAAUAUUUUUAAUAACAAAAUUCACGCAGACCAAAAUCAAUCAAAUAACUCAUCCUAGAUUAAAUAAGAUUUUAAAAUAUCUUCAAUUUUUGACCAGUUAUGUUUGAACAUUUGAAGCUCUAGAUGGCACUGUAAAAUUCCUCAAAGAAGACUUCUUGCCGGCAUGUAACAGUAAAGGAUAUUUCUCCAGAGAUUCCCAAAGAGAAGCUCAUAUUAAUGGACUUUUUCAGUAGAAAUCAGGAUUCUUUUGUAGGUCUGGAGUCGAAAUUUUAGUAGAAAUCUGAAUUGUGCAGAAAACUCAGCCAGAUGUGAAUCCGAUGGGGCACGUGUGGGAUAUGCUACGUCAAGCAAUUUUAUGAAGACUAAAAUCACCCACAACUCAGGAGCUAUGUAUUAAUAUUAGAAUAUCUGUGUUUAUUUUAAAUAUUACAAAUUUUAAUAAACUACUUUUUUGGUUCUA